UACGUAGGGUCCGAGCGUUGUCCGGAAUUAUUGGGCGUAAAGAGCGUGUAGGCGGCCAGGUAGGUCUGCUGUGAAAACUCGAGGCUCAACCUCGAGACGUCGGCGGAAACCAUCUGGCUAGAGUCCGGAAGAGGAGAGUGGAAUUCCUGGUGUAGCGGUGAAAUGCGCAGAUAUCAGGAAGAACACCUAUGGCGAAGGCAGCUCUCUGGGGACGGUACUGACGCUGAGACGCGAAAAGCGUGGGGGAGCGAACAGG
rnacentral:rRNA from 1 species